UGGGGAAUUUUGGACAAUGGGCGAAAGCCUGAUCCAGCAAUGCCGCGUGUGUGAAGAAGGCCUUCGGGUUGUAAAGCACUUUUGUCCGGAAAGAAAUCCUUGGCUCUAAUACAGUCGGGGGAUGACGGUACCGGAAGAAUAAGCACCGGCUAACUACGUGCCAGCAGCCGCGGUAAUACGUAGGGUGCAAGCGUUAAUCGGAAUUACUGGGCGUAAAGCGUGCGCAGGCGGUUUGCUAAGACCGAUGUGAAAUCCCCGGGCUCAACCUGGGAACUGCAUUGGUGACUGGCAGGCUAGAGUAUGGCAGAGGGGGGUAGAAUUCCACGUGUAGCAGUGAAAUGCGUAGAGAUGUGGAGGAAUACCGAUGGCGAAGGCAGCCCCCUGGGCCAAUACUGACGCUCAUGCACGAAAGCGUGGGGAGCAAACAGGAUUAGAUACCCUGGUAGUCCACGCCCUAAACGAUGUCAACUAGUUGUGGGGAUUCAUUCCUUAGUAACGUAGCUAACGCGUGAAGUUGACCGCCUGGGGAGUACGGUCGCAAGAUUAAAACUUAAAGGAAUUGACGGGGUCAUA
rnacentral:rRNA from 1 species